CCUACGGGAGGCAGCAGUGGGGGAUAUUGCACAAUGGGGGAAACCCUGAUGCAGCGACGCCGCGUGGGUGAAGAAGGGCCUCGGCGCGUAAAGCCCUGUCAGCAGGGAAGAAAAUGACGGUACCUGAAGAAGAAGCCCCGGCUAACUACGUGCCAGCAGCCGCGGUAAUACGUAGGGGGCAAGCGUUAUCCGGAUUUACUGGGUGUAAAGGGGGCGCAGACGGCGAUGCAAGCCAGGCGUGAAAGCCCGGGGCCCAACCCCGGGACUGCUCGUGGAACUGCGUGGCUAGAGUGCAGGACGGGCAGGCGGAAUGCCUGGUGUAGCGGUGAAAUGCGUAGAUAUCAGGAGGAACACCGGUGGCGAAGGCGGCCUGCUGGACUGCAACUGACGUUGAGGCCCGAAAGCGUGGGGAGCAAACAGGAUUAGAUACCCGGGUAGUC
rnacentral:rRNA from 1 species